GAAAACACAACGACAUUAACUUCUAACGGAAAAGGUAGGGCCUAUCUAGCAGAGGACGGAACGGAACCUCCUGAUUGGACAGAAGGACCGCCUGUCUUUUAACAGGAAGGAGGGGUGAAAAACACGGAAAAGCGCCUAUUUUCAAAACAUGAGUACUCCCGAAGAUACUUUCGCUAUUAUAAUGAAUUAUUUUGAUGCAGGGCAUACAUACGACGUGGUAGUUGAUAUGUUGUCAACCAAUCACAACAUCAGGAUGAUUAUACGCACGGGUUGUACAGAAGGAACAACUAUUCACAACUGGAUGAGGUGAGACGUGCCAUCCUUACAGAGCUGCAUGGACCAGGGCAAGGGCAAGGAACGGAUGCGAGAACAAGCCGGAGAAAAAGCGACUGCUGUGUCCCUAGAGGAUGUCCUGCUGUUUGCUACAGGGCUCGCAUCACUUCCACCUGCUGGAAUAACACCACUACCAUGCAUCGAGUUCUUACCAAAUUCGCCAUUCCCUAUGUCAAACACCUGUGCAAAUGCAUUAAAGCUCCUUUUCCUUGAGACCUACAGUGUCUUUUAGACAAACAUGGAGUUUUGCUUACAGAAUUCUCCAGGCUUUGGGUGCAUUUAAUGCUGUGCCAAGUCUGGAUUUUGCCCAGUCUUAAAUCUGUAGUUUAUAAAGCAUAAGAGUGCAUGCUCAGUUCAAAGUAUUUUAAUGUGUAUUAUUUCUGUUCAUUACUUUGUUCAAUGAAAAAUCACAGAAUUUUUUUUAAGUACAGGUCACAUUACAAGUAACAGUAAAAUUGUACUCAGCUAAAAUGUAUGUAGUUUCACAUUUGAAACAGUGUAUAACAUGUUGUGCUUGCAAACAAGCUUGUUAACAAUACCUCUUGAAAAGAACCACGUUUCUUUGGUUGUUCAGACCUACAAUUGACACACAGUUAACUCGAUGGUGAAUCCGAAAAUAAACAAAUAUAGUUUGGGAGUUA